ensembl:lncRNA
CCAGCGAAGGCAGACGAAGGCUGGAGCGGUCCCUCGGACCCUCCAGCGACGGCGGACGAAGGCUGGAGCGGUCCCUCGGACCCUCCAGCGAAGACGACGAAGGCUGGAGCGGUCCCUCGGACCCUCCAGCGAAGGUAGACGAAGGCUGGAGCGGUCCCUCGGACCCUCCAGCGGAUCCCGGACGAGCCCCCAUUAUGUUACACCACGGCCUAGGCAACCGGCGUGCAACACAGAAAAAAUAAAAAUAAGGGAAAAACAAAACAAAACAAAAAAAACUACUACGGGUCUCCACAAAAAAAAUCCCAAAACGAAAGGAUCGACAACUAUUUACAUCAAAGCAAAAUAAGACAUUUAUUUACAUCAAAACACCAAACUAUUUACAACCGGGGGAAGAUCGCGAACCUGACAAACUGAAACACAGGGCUUAAAUACAUAGAGGGAGCAAUCAGGGAAUGGACAACAGGAGGGAAACACAGCUGGGGCAAAUCAGAACUGACGAGACAAGGAAGCGUAAACUGAACACACUGAGAUAAGACAGACUUUCAAAGUAAAGCAGGAAACACAACCGUCACGCCUAAAACAAAACACUGACAACACCGAAUCGUAACAGUGCAUAUGUGGGAAAUCUACGACAGUCAACAUACAACUGCUUUUGAUUUUAUUAGCCUAGAUGUUGUGUUUUGAGUAUUUCUACAUGAUUUUGUGUUGUAUUCAGUGCAUUUUAAGGUUGUUAAAAUUGCC